rnacentral:rRNA from 1 species
UACGUAGGGUGCGAGCGUUAAUCGGAAUUACUGGGCGUAAAGCGUGCGCAGGCGGUUUUGUAAGCCAGAUGUGAAAUCCCCGGGCUUAACCUGGGAAUGGCAUUUGGGACUGCAAGGCUCGAGUGCGGCAGAGGAGACUGGAAUUCCUGGUGUAGCAGUGAAAUGCGUAGAGAUCGGGAAGAACAUCGGUGGCGAAAGCGCUCUACUGGACCGCAACUGACACUCAGGGACGAAAGCUAGGGGAGCGAACAGG